rnacentral:lncRNA from 1 species
GUGGUGGCCUUACUCAGCAAGACCUGGGCCUGCUGGGGUUCACCCGAUCGCAGUCAUCGCGAUGGGGCCACGUGGUAAAACAGCGCCCCACGCUUGUCAAUGGGGUGGCCGCGAUGUCCAGUUUCCCAGUUUGAGCCCGCUGUCCUCAGAUUCUUGGAGACACCAGCUAUAGACAGAAACCCCCAAAGGCAGGAGCAGAUUUGUUUCCACGUCUCAUCUGUGGUUUACAAACAAGUUGGGAGAGACUUUGGUGCACAGCUACAGACUGAGCCGGUUUACUGCACAUUAUAAAUGGAAAUCUUUAUUUUUUUUUUUUCUCUCUGUUUUUAAGAAAUCCUGUUGCAAGGUCAUUAAUCACAUUAUCCAUUAUACCAGAAACAAAUGGAUUUGUCACUUGUUCGCAGAAGCUGAGGCCGCUUCUGGAAACAAAUUGUAUCAAAAUAAAUGAAAUUAUUAUGAUAAUAUAAAAUAGACGGCAGUGAUUAAUCUCCAGAAACCAAAUUUUGACCUGCUUUGCACUUCAAACAAUAGCUUCUGUUAUGUAAAUAGUUGUGGGGUUUUCAAGGACAGUGUUGCUAAAUUACAAGAAAAGUUCUUUUCAUGAAAAAUCUCUUCAUGGGUAAACAGUAGAGACAGGAAAUCUGAUCUACACAACAGCCAAAGCAGAGGACAGUGAAAGUUAUGAUGGUUCAGGCGUGGACCCUGGGGGUCCCCAGUAAACUUCCUGCCUGCAAACCUCAGAGCCGCAGAGCCUGUUCCCUGGGAAACUGGACCUAAGACAGUUGGAAUCAGGAGUGGUGGAAGGAAG